GAUGAACGCUGGCGGCGUGCUUAAUACAUGCAAGUCGAACGGACAGGCCCUGCUCUUGUUGGGUGCUCGAUUGGCGAACGGGUGAGUAACACGUGAGUAUCCUGCCCUUGUCUUUCGGAUAACUUCAGGGAACUGGGGCUAAUACAGCGUAGAAUCUCCUGCUGCAUGGGGGGGGUUGGAAAGUUUCGGCGGUUGGGGCUGGUCUCGAGGCUUAUGCGCCUGUUUGUGGGGUAGGUGCUUACCAAGGUUGUGACGGGUAGCCGGCCUGAGCGGGUGACCGGCGACAUGGGGACUGAGAUACGGCGCAGACUCCUACGGGAGGCAGUAGGGGAGAAUAUUGCACAAUGGGCGGAAGCCUGAUGCAGCAACGCCGCGUGCGGGAUGACGGCCUUCGGGUUGUAAACCGCUUUCGCCUGUGACGAAGCGGGAGUGACGGUAAUGGGUAAAGAAGCACCGGCUAACUACGUG
rnacentral:rRNA from 1 species